rnacentral:rRNA from 1 species
GAUGAACGCUGGCGGCGUGCCUAAUACAUGCAAGUCGAGCGAACAGACGAGGAGCUUGCUCCUCUGACGUUAGCGGCGGACGGGUGAGUAACACGUGGAUAACCUACCUAUAAGACUGGGAUAACUUCGGGAAACCGGAGCUAAUACCGGAUAAUAUAUUGAACCGCAUGGUUCAAUAGUGAAAGACGGUUUUGCUGUCCCUUAUAGAUAGAUCCGCGCCGCAUUAGCUAGUUGGUAAGGUAACGCCUUACCAAGGCAACGAUGCGUAGCCGACCUGAGAGGUUGAUCGGCCACACUGGAACUGAGACACGGUCCAGACGCCUACGGGAGGCAGCAGUAGGGAAUCUUCCGCAAUGGGCGAAAGCUUGACGGAGCAACGCCGCGUGAGUGAUGAAGGUCUUCGGAUCGUAAAACUCUGUUAUUAGGGAAGAACAAAUGUGUAAGUAACUAUGCACGUCUUGACGGUACCUAAUCAGAAAGCCACGGCUAACUACGUG